UUAAGUUCAGCGGGUAUUCCUACCUAAUCCGAGGUCAACCACUAGAAAUAUAGGGGGUUUUACGGCAGGCAGCCGGGGCAACUACAGAAGCGAGAUAAGUUUACUACGCUUAGAGUGUGCUCCAACUCCGCCACUGACUUUGAGGAGCUACGCCGCAAGGGCGUAGGCUCCCAACGCUAAGCUACAGGGCUUAAUGGUCG
rnacentral:misc_RNA from 1 species